AGGAAUAUUGGUCAAUGGACGCAAGUCUGAACCAGCCAUGCCGCGUGAAGGAUGAAGGUCCUCUGGAUUGUAAACUUCUUUUAUCUGGGACGAAAACGGGAUUUUUAUCUCAAUUGACGGUACCAGAGGAAUAAGCACCGGCUAACUCCGUGCCAGCAGCCGCGGUAAUACGGAGGGUGCGAGCGUUAUCCGGAUUUACUGGGUUUAAAGGGUGCGUAGGUGGGCUUAUAAGUCAGUGGUGAAAUCUCCGAGCUUAACUUGGAAACUGCCGUGGAUACUAUAGGUCUUGAAUUAUCUGGAGGUAAGCGGAAUAUGUCAUGUAGCGGUGAAAUGCUUAGAUAUGACAUAGAACACCAAUUGCGAAGGCAGCUUACUACAUAUAAAUUGACGCUGAGGCACGAAAGCGUGGGGAUCAAACA
rnacentral:rRNA from 1 species